rnacentral:rRNA from 1 species
AACGAACGCUGGCGGCAUGCCUAACACAUGUAAGUCGAACGAGACCUUCGGGUCUAGUGGCGCACGGGUGCGUAACGCGUGGGAACCUGCCCUUAGGUUCGGAAUAACUCCCCGAAAGGGGUGCUAAUACCGGAUAAUGUCUUCGGACCAAAGAUUUAUCGCCUUUGGAUGGGCCCGCGUUGGAUUAGCUAGUUGGUAGGGUAAAAGCCUACCAAGGCGACGAUCCAUAGCUGGUCUGAGAGGAUGAUCAGCCACACUGGGACUGAGACACGGCCCAGACUCCUACGGGAGGCAGCAGUGGGGAAUAUUGGACAAUGGGCGAAAGCCUGAUCCAGAAAUGCCGCGUGAGUGAUGAAGGCCUUAGGGUUGUAAAGCUCUUUUACCCGGGAUGAUAAUGACAGUACCGGGAGAAUAAGCUCCGGCUAACUCCGU